rnacentral:rRNA from 1 species
UUAAGCGACUAAGCGUACACGGUGGAUGCCCUGGCAGUCAGAGGCGAUGAAGGACGUGCUAAUCUGCGAAAAGCGCCGGCGAGGUGAUAUGAACCUUUGACCCGGCGAUGUCCGAAUGGGGAAACCCAGUGUGUUUCGACACACUAUCGUUAACUGAAUACAUAGGUUAACGAGGCGAACCGGGGGAACUGAAACAUCUAAGUACCCCGAGGAAAAGAAAUCAACCGAGAUUCCCCCAGUAGCGGCGAGCGAACGGGGAGCAGCCCAGAGUCUGAAUCAGCUUGUGUGUUAGUGGAACGGUCUGGAAAGUCCGGCGAUACAGGGUGACAGCCCCGUACACGAAAAUGCACAGGUUGUGAACUCGAAGAGUAGGGCGGGACACGUGGUAUCCUGUCUGAAUAUGGGGGGACCAUCCUCCAAGGCUAAAUACUCCUGACUGACCGAUAGUGAACCAGUACCGUGAGGGAAAGGCGAAAAGAACCCCGGCGAGGGGAGUGAAAAAGAACCUGAAACCGUGUACGUACAAGCAGUGGGAGCACCUUCGUGGUGUGACUGCGUACCUUUUGUAUAAUGGGUCAGCGACUUAUAUUCUGUAGCAAGGUUAACCGUAUAGGGGAGCCGAAGGGAAACCGAGUCUUAACUGGGCGUUAAGUUGCAGGGUAUAGACCCGAAACCCGGUGAUCUAGCCAUGGGCAGGUUGAAGGUUGGGUAACACUAACUGGAGGACCGAACCGACUAAUGUUGAAAAAUUAGCGGAUGACUUGUGGCUGGGGGUGAAAGGCCAAUCAAACCGGGAGAUAGCUGGUUCUCCCCGAAAGCUAUUUAGGUAGCGCCUCGUGAACUCAUCUUCGGGGGUAGAGCACUGUUUCGGCUAGGGGGCCAUCCCGGCUUACCAACCCGAUGCAAACUACGAAUACCGAAGAAUGUUAUCACGGGAGACACACGGCGGGUGCUAACGUCCGUCGUGAAGAGGGAAACAACCCAGACCGCCAGCUAAGGUCCCAAAGUCAUGGUUAAGUGGGAAACGAUGUGGGAAGGCACAGACAGCCAGGAUGUUGGCUUAGAAGCAGCCAUCAUUUAAAGAAAGCGUAAUAGCUCACUGGUCGAGUCGGCCUGCGCGGAAGAUGUAACGGGGCUAAACCAUGCACCGAAGCUGCGGCAGCGACACUAUGUGUUGUUGGGUAGGGGAGCGUUCUGUAAGCCGUUGAAGGUGGCCUGUGAGGCUUGCUGGAGGUAUCAGAAGUGCGAAUGCUGACAUAAGUAACGAUAAAGCGGGUGAAAAGCCCGCUCGCCGGAAGACCAAGGGUUCCUGUCCAACGUUAAUCGGGGCAGGGUGAGUCGACCCCUAAGGCGAGGCCGAAAGGCGUAGUCGAUGGGAAACAGGUUAAUAUUCCUGUACUUGGUGUUACUGCGAAGGGGGGACGGAGAAGGCUAUGUUAGCCGGGCGACGGUUGUCCCGGUUUAAGCAUGUAGGCGGAACGAUUAGGUAAAUCCGGUCGUUUUUUAACGCUGAGGUGUGAUGACGAGGCACUACGGUGCUGAAGUAACAAAUGCCCUGCUUCCAGGAAAAGCCUCUAAGCAUCAGGUAACACAAAAUCGUACCCCAAACCGACACAGGUGGUCAGGUAGAGAAUACCAAGGCGCUUGAGAGAACUCGGGUGAAGGAACUAGGCAAAAUGGUGCCGUAACUUCGGGAGAAGGCACGCUGAUAUGUAGGUGAAGCCCCUGCGGGUGGAGCUGAAAUCAGUCGAAGAUACCAGCUGGCUGCAACUGUUUAUUAAAAACACAGCACUGUGCAAACACGAAAGUGGACGUAUACGGUGUGACGCCUGCCCGGUGCCGGAAGGUUAAUUGAUGGGGUUAGCGGCAACGCGAAGCUCUUGAUCGAAGCCCCGGUAAACGGCGGCCGUAACUAUAACGGUCCUAAGGUAGCGAAAUUCCUUGUCGGGUAAGUUCCGACCUGCACGAAUGGCGUAAUGAUGGCCAGGCUGUCUCCACCCGAGACUCAGUGAAAUUGAACUCGCUGUGAAGAUGCAGUGUACCCGCGGCAAGACGGAAAGACCCCGUGAACCUUUACUAUAGCUUGACACUGAACACUGGUCCUUGAUGUGUAGGAUAGGUGGGAGGCUUUGAAGCGUGGACGCCAGUCUGCGUGGAGCCGACCUUGAAAUACCACCCUUUAAUGGCUGGUGUUCUAACGUAGACCCGUAAUCCGGGUUGCGGACAGUGUCUGGUGGGUAGUUUGACUGGGGCGGUCUCCUCCCAAAGAGUAACGGAGGAGCACGAAGGUUAGCUAAUCCUGGUCGGACAUCAGGAGGUUAGUGCAAUGGCAUAAGCUAGCUUGACUGCGAGAGUGACGGCUCGAGCAGGUGCGAAAGCAGGUCAUAGUGAUCCGGUGGUUCUGAAUGGAAGGGCCAUCGCUCAACGGAUAAAAGGUACUCCGGGGAUAACAGGCUGAUACCGCCCAAGAGUUCAUAUCGACGGCGGUGUUUGGCACCUCGAUGUCGGCUCAUCACAUCCUGGGGCUGAAGUAGGUCCCAAGGGUAUGGCUGUUCGCCAUUUAAAGUGGUACGCGAGCUGGGUUUAGAACGUCGUGAGACAGUUCGGUCCCUAUCUGCCGUGGGCGCUGGAGAAUUGAGGGGGGCUGCUCCUAGUACGAGAGGACCGGAGUGGACGCAUCACUGGUGUUCGGGUUGUCAUGCCAAUGGCAUUGCCCGGUAGCUAAAUGCGGAAGAGAUAAGUGCUGAAAGCAUCUAAGCACGAAACUUGCCCCGAGAUGAGUUCUCCCUGACUCCUUGAGAGUCCUGAAGGAACGUUGAAGACGACGACGUUGAUAGGUCGGGUGUGUAAGCGUAGCGAUACGUUGAGCUAACCGAUACUAAUGAACCGUGAGGCUUAACCU